rnacentral:miRNA from 1 species
GUGAGCAAAGUUUAAGACAUUC